GAUGAACGCUGGCGGCGUGCCUAAUACAUGCAAGUAGAACGCUGAAGGAGGAGCUUGCUCUUCUGGAUGAGUUGCGAACGGGUGAGUAACGCGUAGGUAACCUGCCUGGUAGCGGGGGAUAACUAUUGGAAACGAUAGCUAAUACCGCAUGACAACAGUUAUUGCAUGAUAACUGUUUAAAAUGGGCACCUGCUCCACUACCAGAUGGACCUGCGUUGUAUUAGCUAGUUGGUGAGGUAACGGCUCACCAAGGCGACGAUACAUAGCCGACCUGAGAGGGUGAUCGGCCACACUGGGACUGAGACACGGCCCAGACUCCUACGGGAGGCAGCAGUAGGGAAUCUUCGGCAAUGGACGGAAGUCUGACCGAGCAACGCCGCGUGAGUGAAGAAGGUUUUCGGAUCGUAAAGCUCUGUUGUAAGAGAAGAACGAGUGUGAGAGUGGAAAGUUCACACUGUGACGGUAUCUUACCAGAAAGGGACGGCUAACUACGUG
rnacentral:rRNA from 1 species